rnacentral:rRNA from 1 species
UUUAAGCGUGUAGGCUGGUUUUCCAGGCAAAUCCGGAAAAUCAAGGCUGAGGCGUGAUGACGAGGCACCACGGUGCUGAAGCAACAAAUGCCCUGCUUCCAGGAAAAGCCUCUAAGCAUCAGGUAACAUCAAAUCGUACCCCAAACCGACACAGGUGGUCAGGUAGAGAAUACCAAGGCGCUUGAGAGAACUCGGGUGAAGGAACUAGGCAAAAUGGUGCCGUAACUUCGGGAGAAGGCACGCUGACACGUAGGUGAAGUGAUUUACUCAUGGAGCUGAAGUCAGUCGAAGAUACCAGCUGGCUGCAACUGUUUAUUAAAAACACAGCACUGUGCAAACACGAAAGUGGACGUAUACGGUGUGACGCCUGCCCGGUGCCGGAAGGUUAAUUGAUGGGGUCAGCGCAAGCGAAGCUCCUGAUCGAAGCCCCGGUAAACGGCGGCCGUAACUAUAACGGUCCUAAGGUAGCGAAAUUCCUUGUCGGGUAAGUUCCGACCUGCACGAAUGGCGUAAUGAUGGCCAGGCUGUCUCCACCCGAGACUCAGUGAAAUUGAACUCGCUGUGAAGAUGCAGUGUACCCGCGGCAAGACGGAAAGACCCCGUGAACCUUUACUAUAGCUUGACACUGAACAUUGAGCCUUGAUGUGUAGGAUAGGUGGGAGGCUUUGAAGCGUGGACGCCAGUCUGCGUGGAGCCGACCUUGAAAUACCACCCUUUAAUGUUUGAUGUUCUAACGUGGACCCGUAAUCCGGGUUGCGGACAGUGUCUGGUGGGUAGUUUGACUGGGGCGGUCUCCUCCUAAAGAGUAACGGAGGAGCACGAAGGUUGGCUAAUCCUGGUCGGACAUCAGGAGGUUAGUGCAAUGGCAUAAGCCAGCUUGACUGCGAGCGUGACGGCGCGAGCAGGUGCGAAAGCAGGUCAUAGUGAUCCGGUGGUUCUGAAUGGAAGGGCCAUCGCUCAACGGAUAAAAGGUACUCCGGGGAUAACAGGCUGAUACCGCCCAAGAGUUCAUAUCGACGGCGGUGUUUGGCACCUCGAUGUCGGCUCAUCACAUCCUGGGGCUGAAGUAGGUCCCAAGGGUAUGGCUGUUCGCCAUUUAAAGUGGUACGCGAGCUGGGUUUAGAACGUCGUGAGACAGUUCGGUCCCUAUCUGCCGUGGGCGCUGGAAGACUGAGGGGGGCUGCUCCUAGUACGAGAGGACCGGAGUGGACGCAUCACUGGUGUUCGGG